GGCAAAAGAGAAAAACCUUUAAGCCUAAAGGAGUUUGGGCAUGAUUCUGAAGGCAAUGGACGUGAUGCGAUCAGGUCGGCGAUUCAGAAACAUCCCUCUGGCUGCAGAAAGGAAGGAAGUAGGAGGGCGAACCCAGGCUGGAAGCCGUCCCGGCACCGAGCAUCUUGCAACGGUCUCGGCAAAAGGGUAGAAGCUGAGACAGCGUGGGGGCGGCGUUGGGGAUGGAGAGAAGUGGACCGACUCGAGAUAGGGGGUAAAAUCAACAGGGCUCGGAGGUUAACUGCAUGUGCGCUCACGGGAGGGGGCGCUCAGGAUGACUCCAGGCGUCAGAUUUCAGUGACUUGGGUGAACGGCUGGCGGUCAACUGAGCGGGUGACACGGAGUGAGCGGAGGGCGGGAUCGCGGCAUACCUCGCGGCGGAUCCGAAACCGACCCGGGCCUUCUCCCGCCGGGGACCGCCCAGGCCUCCCGCGGCCCCUGGGCCGCCGAAGAAGCCGCGACAGGAAGCGCCCCGGCGGGAGGCGCCUCGGGCUCUAACACGUGACUCCACGACCGGUGCGGCGCCUAUUACGCAUGCGCAAGGCGAAGUGGGCGUGGCGCUCCAACAGUUUCCUUGGACAAAGAGCUUUUCCACCUCCUUAUUGCUUUUUGGUGAUUUCCUGAAGAAGAGACCGUCUUUACUAUUUUAAAAUGGAAGGUUCAGGGAACUCCCUGGUGGUCCAGAGGUUAGGACUCUGUGCUCUCACUGCUGAGGGCCCGACUGCAAUUCUUGG